AUUGAACGCUGGCGGCAUGCCUUACACAUGCAAGUCGAACGGUAACAGGUUAAGCUGCCGCGUGGCGAACGGGUGAGUAAUGUAUCGGAACGUGCCCAGUCGUGGGGGAUAACUGCUCGAAAGAGCAGCUAAUACCGCAUACGACCUGAGGGUGAAAGCGGGGGAUCGCAAGACCUCGCGCGAUUGGAGCGGCCGAUAUCAGAUUAGGUAGUUGGUGAGGUAAAGGCUCACCAAGCCGACGAUCUGUAGCUGGUCUGAGAGGACGACCAGCCACACUGGGACUGAGACACGGCCCAGACUCCUACGGGAGGCAGCAGUGGGGAAUUUUGGACAAUGGGCGCAAGCCUGAGCCAGCCAUGCCGCGUGCGGGAAGAAGGCCUUCGGGUUGUAAACCGCUUUUGUCAGGGAAGAAAAGGUUCUGGCUAAUACCUGGGACUCAUGACGGUACCGGAAGAAUAAGCACCGGCUAACUACGU
rnacentral:rRNA from 1 species